AGCCGUGCCGUAAUAAACUAUUAACCAUUGCUGUGCUUGCACAAAGCGAUGGUUAAUAGUUUAUUACGAUAGGGCGAAAGCCCGGCAGUUCCAUAAAGCUUUGCUUUAUGGAACGUGCACGGCG
rnacentral:sRNA from 1 species